rnacentral:tRNA from 1 species
GGCGCUAUAGUGUAGUGGCUAUCACAGCGGAUUCUGAAGUCAUCACUUUCCGCUAACCCAGGUUCGAACCCUGGUAGCGCCU